GAAAAGAUGCUUGGCUGUUUAAUAGAACUACAAAUUGUUUCAGGAAAAAUAACAGUGGCUGUGAUUUGUGGGUUCUCACACACCACUAUGGUCUAAUAAUGCCAGCCUCUUCAAGCUCUCCAUGUACCUGGUGGGAAGAGACAAACUCCCAUAGAGCAGGGGAAAGAAGGGAGGGAAGAAAAACUGUUUAUCUUUCCAUCUGUUACCUAGAGAAGGGUUCUUUUUCCCACUGACUACAGGGGGAGCCCAUAAAAACUACUCUCACAAGGCUGGAGAUAAUCUCUGUGAUUAUCCCAGUGAGUAAUACUACAGCAAACCCACCAUUUUGAAAGAUAAAAUUGCAGGUAUAAACACAACAGAUAUAUUAGACAGAGACAACUUACAUACAAAAUCAUUUAUUUCUAUUUUAUGUCAUCCCCUUUUUUUUUUUUUUUUUUAUUUUCCAGUUUAUUAAGACACAUAUUUGCAAACUAUUUCUAAAUAUUUCUACAAAAAACCUACUCAGUAUACUCAGUAGAAGACACAGGAAAGUUUUCUGUGUCAGCACCUAGACAGAUCUUUAAAAUGGAAUCAGAGCCUUAAAAUCAGCUUAAAAUCUAGUUCAUUUUAUCUCAUUUCUUGAAUAGAAAAAUGAACUGUAAAUGUGUUUUUUGUUAGAGCAAAUGAAAAGCUGAGAUCUGAAUCUGGAGUAAAUCUCAAGGGUGCUGAGAGGGCCACAGCGAGGAGCAGUGACACCCAGUGGCGCAGUCUCUCUUGCACUUGAUGACUGUGUUCUACGAGACAAUUUCAAGACAACUAUGCUAUUGGGUUACAGAUACAAAGAGGAUUACAAUUACUCCAGCAUGGAGAAUCAGAUUUCCAUUCCUCAAGAAUGACUAAAAUUCCCCCAACUUCUUCUCUCCACAGAUGGUACUGAUUUGAACAAACCAUUCCAUGCUUCCUAGAGUAAUCAUGCAGCUUGUUUAAAUUUUCUAAACAUGACUCAACUAUGAUGAAGUGAUCACUGUUCACACUAAAAGCAUCUGAAGCCAAAAAUUGUAUCUGUGAAUUAUUCUUUCAGAUUAAAUUGGAACUGUAACAAAGACUUAUCUAUCUGCUCAAAGAUACUCCUACUUUGUUAUGAGCCUAAAAGAAACUAUUAUUCUUCCUGACUUCCAGAAAAGUGCAUUUAAAGAAAAAAAACAACUUGAAAAGAUGUGCUUGGGGUUGUCUAGGUCACAAAUUGUCCAUAUCUGUAUCCUGAUUACUUUGUGGGAAUUCUAGUGCUAAUCGCAUAUUUAAAUUCCCUGUGAAUCACGGGUAGGAUCCCUUAAGUUCAUCAUCAUUCAACCAAGAGUCUUUCCCUAUCCACUUAUAUUGCAUUUGCUCUAAUUCAUUUACCUUUGGGUGUGAGGAGGUUUUCAAAGUCUGUAAUUUUUGGUGCAAUGUACUCUAUAGUUUUCAAUUUAAUAGCUUUUAAUUCAGCUUCUGAAAGCCAGCCAGGAUGCAGGCAGAGAGGCUGGCUGUGAAAUGCUGGUAAUUCCGUUUCUGGACAGGAGGAGGAACGAGGUGUUUUCAGGUUCAUCCACCAUUGUUCACAUGAUGGCCAAACUCCAAGGAAAAGUGCCUGGAGCCAGAUCUACAUGGGAUUUUAAACUCCUAAAACCUAUUUACGUGCCUGAACUCCUACUGAAGUUGACAGGAAGUUAAGCACCUAAAUAGAAGUUACUUUCACAGAUCUUGGCCCCGUUUCCCUAUGCUCGUCUGGCUGCAAUGCUAAUCAGCCCUUCCAAAGUUGGCAGACUGCUCUGAGAUUAACUUUUUAUUUGAGAACCUAAAUGAAAGGAAAUUCCUGGUAGAAAGGGCACCUGAUUGCACAAAAACUCAGAUAAAGUUGAACUGGGCCAGUGGAACUAGUUUAAAGCAACAGAAACACUUGGUAGAAAAAAUCUUAUUUGCAUUGCAAAGAUAACCUAAGGGCAGCAAAGGACACACAAAAAAAUCUACUGAGAAAAGCGAGCAGUUAUGGCUUUCCAUAAAGACUUCUGUGGAAAGCAAUGACUACAGCUGCGCGGGCCGGGAACAGAAGACAGUAAUAUGAUAUGGCAUAGUUCCUAACGAAGCUAAUAAAAAAACUCUGCCUACAGAACAGCUGCUUGUAGCUGGAGUUUGGAUUAAAAGAACAGCGGCAGCCUAGAAGUCUGUUGGGUGGUAUUAAGAGCAUCAACAUGAGGAAAGUGAAGAACAAAGUAGAACAGAGAGCAGUGGGCACACAAUGAAAUAAUCUUCAGAAAAUUGAGCCACCAACUGAUUGUUUCAUUUGUCUAGAGAAGACCUGACAUCAACAUCAAAGCCAUUAACUUACAUUUGGACAUAUCAACUAAUGAGAAAAUCUAAAAAAAGCUCCACGCUAUUAAGAAAGUAAAGUCUGGAAAAGAAAGCAGUUCCAGUCAUCUUGGAAAGAAGUGUUUCGAAGAUUCUUAGUCAUGAUUCACCCCUUGUUUUUGUGAUGCUUCUGCUUUAAUACAUAUUGGAAAUGUGAGUUGAUUUGAACAUGUGAAACAUACUUAUCUGUAGUAGUGAUAUAGAACAAAGUUCUUCCAUUUUCCAUACUGAGACUCUACAACAAGUGAUUCCUCUGGAUAACCAGGCCAAAACACUGCACUUCCACAUCAUGCUUGGGACCCUCAGGACUGCUUUAAAGUACUAAAUUAAAUGAUUUUUUCAGUGCAUUAGGGACAUCUGUAGUUCUUUUUACAAGCUAAUGAAGAAAUUAAUGCAACCCCAACUCCUAGAGCUGCCAUGUUCUAUGAAAAGAAUAUAUGGUGGUAGAAACAGACCAUUUCUUUGGGUAUGAAGAAGGUUUUAAGCCCAUGCUACAUUUUGCGUUCCUCACAAGCCUAAAUGAGAAAGCUGACCACAUUUUCUAGUAAGCAUUUCCAACUCAGAGGUACAAAACCGGAAUAUUUAUAGGUUCACUUAUUCAGAGACUUAUUAGAGAAUAAACAUGUUUUAGCACAAGUAACAACAGAUUAUGUUAACUUGCCAGCUCCACAUCAGAUGACCUAAGAAACUUUCCUAUUAACAAUCCUUUUAGGCACUCCUCUUUUUCAUCCACAAAGCAUACUUCUGUGUACAGCUGCAAUUUAACAUAGGCCAGCAAAAUUAAGCUCAGAUUAAAUUAAAAAAUGUCUCUUGGACAAUUUCCUAGCAAUAUUUCAUUUAAAUGGAAGUUAUGAAUGAAUCUCUGUUUAGCAGAAAACAAAUAGUAAGGACUGUAACCAUAGUACAAUGUGGUCCUCAACCUGUUCCAAGAUUCUGUGUUCAGUUAUAAUAUUAAGUAGGACCAGUAGUAAUGAAAGAAAAAGUACUCUGCACAUGUUAAUUGUAUGCUCAACAUGGUUAAUAUUUCCAGAGAAUAAUAAUAAGUACAAGAAAAAUCUAAAUUUAAAAAAAUUGACAGCAGCUGCAGUUUUCUUUUGGUUGUUUAUACUUCAACCCCCAAGUGGCUUUUUAGUUCUUUUAUUUUUCUUCUUAACUGAAUGGCAAUUACACUAGCCCCAGACUAGUGUAAUUCUGAGCUACCUGAAGCUGCACAGCUUUACUAAGUCUUUCUGAGAACUAUCCUACUAAUUUAUAGAUCUUUUUCCCUUCUAAAAAUUCAACCCUAAUGAAAUUUAAUUUUAAUGUAUGCAUUUUCUUGAAAAUAAUCCAAGGGUAGCUAUUCAGUCAUAAUAUUCCAAAUCAUUUUUUCAUGUGUGCUUGCUAUAUUGUCUUUCAUAUAUCGCAUAGUAUUUUUAAACACAAAGUAGUAUUACCACUACAAAGUUGACAGUUUUUGUAACAUACUGCAGCCUGGCAGAAGUGGUUUACCAUGACAAUGGAGCUAGAUUAGACACAAAACACUACUAAUCUCCUCAUAAAUUUAAUCUUCAUGAUUCAAGUUUAAUUUUACCCAUUUAUGAACAAGAUUACCUAAAAAAAAAAAAAAAAAAAAAAAAAAAAA